rnacentral:rRNA from 1 species
AGCGUAGACAGAGUGGCAAGUCUGAUGUGAAAACCCAGGGCUCAACCCCGGGACUGCAUUGGAAACUGUCAAUCUAGAGUACCGGAGAGGUAAGCGGAAUUCCUAGUGUAGCGGUGAAAUGCGUAGAUAUUAGGAGGAACAUCAGUGGCGAAGGCGGCUUACUGGACGGCAACUGACGUUGAGGCUCGAAAGCGUGGGGAGCAAACA